AACGCGAAGAACCUUACCCAGGCUUGACAUGCAAAGGACAGCGCUAGAGAUAGCGCCUCCCUUAGGGGCCUUUGCACAGGUGCUGCAUGGCUGUCGUCAGCUCGUGCCGUGAGGUGUUGGGUUAAGUCCCGCAACGAGCGCAACCCUUAUUGUUAGUUGCCAACACGUAAUGGUGGGAACUCUAACGAGACUGCCCGGGUUAACCGGGAGGAAGGUGAGGAUGACGUCAAGUCCGCAUGGCCCUUAUGUCUGGGGCUACACACGUGCUACAAUGGUCGGUACAGAAGGCAGCGAAACCGCGAGGUGAAGCAAAUCCCCAAAGCCGACCUCAGUUCAGAUUGCAGUCUGCAACUCGACUGCAUGAAGACGGAAUUGCUAGUAAUGGCGAGUCAGCUACAUCGCCGUGAAUACGUUCCCGGGCCUUGUACACACCGGCUAC
rnacentral:rRNA from 1 species